AUUGACAAGUAGAGGCACCCGCUUCUCGCCUGUUCGACACAUCAAGUAGUUGCCAGGUUAUUUAACAGUCGUUAUUCUGAUUAAACAGGAUAAGUGUGGGUGCAUUGGUACCGACACUUUUUUUAUUUG
rfam:Amphibacillus xylanus NBRC 15112 DNA, complete genome.